UGACCUUUUAAGGUGAAACCACAGGAAGGUGUUUCUCUCACAGGUCUUUCCUCACCUGGCUUGUUUAGAGCAUGCUGUGAGCAGCAGGACCUCCUGGCCUGGCAGAAGCAGGAGGGAAUGUUGUCCCUCAAGAAUUCCCCAUUGGGAUUUCUACAUAGAUUUCAACAUCAAAGAAAGGAACUGAGUCUGAAUUUUGCACGGGGCUGUUGUUCCAAGGUGUCCAUAGACACUCAGAAGCCAACACGAUCUCCCAAGAAGCCUGGAGAGGUUCUGCCAUGCCAGAGGAGGCAUCGCUGGGCCUGGCCCGUGACUGCACGUGUGUGCAGAGUUGCCUCUGUCAAGAAAAUACGAAUUAUGAAGAUCAUGAACUGCCCCUUUCCUGUCUGUGCCAGUCCCAUCAUGCUACUCCCCAGUAGUGCAGCAGCUGAGCUGGCAUCUCCUGUCAAGAUCCUGUCAAGGACCAAGGGGCAGUUGAUACCUUCCUGGGUGGUGAUGGAGAACAGGGCAGAUGGAGGCUGCUGUCAUGCACCAGCUCAGCCAAAGCUGGGGAUGUCCAUGACCUUCACAGCCCAGGAUGAGCUGGAGGAGAGCAAAGCCAACAGCUGAGCAGAGAAUUACACCAGCCAAGUGAAGCAGACCCUGGGGUUGGUGGAUCCUAAAGAGAAAGCACUGGACAAAACAGGAAAAGCCCUUUCAAGACAAUGGGAAGCAUUUGAAUUUGAAAUGCCUUGGUAAAUGCUGUUUUCUGGCACCUGGGAAAAUUUCUCAGUAGUCAUGGCAGGAAAAAAGAGUAAGGAAUAGUGUGUCCAGUGGAAAUUCCUGCAGCUCUUGGCUCAGCAGAGUAGAAUUAUUGGAGACUGGAGCCUGCUCAGGACAGUGGAGCUAACACCUCCACCCUUGCAAGAACUGGGAUCUUGGGUGACCACAAGUGGUGAGCUUGGGAUGUCAUUAAAAUGCAACUCCUGCAGCAGCACAGCCCAGAACUCCCUGCUGAGCAGUUUCAUCAUGCUGCAAACUUAGAGGGAGGGUGUCAGCUACUAAAUCACCCAAACCGCUUCCUGCAGCACCUGCUUUUAACUCCCAUCUCCUGUCCCAAUAGUGCCUAGACACAAGUGCAAAGUGCUGGAUCUUCAGCACACAUUGCCACUAGAGGAGCAACACACAGGAGUAACACCUGUGCCCUCACCAUGGGCAGAAGCAGAGCAUGGCCCUGCUCCUUACUGGAAUGCACUUCUCCAGCACCUGGCCAAGCCUAAUGGCUGAGCAUUGCUCCUGGACAUGGACUGGAAGACAGGCAGAGACAUCUCGAGGAGGACUGUGACCCUCCCAGCUGCCUGCUCACUCCUCAGCUUUCUCUUUCUCAAGGGCUUCAGGAAGCUGCAGAGGUUCUGAGAUUUUUCUUUUCCCCUUUCUUGAAAGUGUGGCUAAAAAUAAAUGGAGUGUUGAAACCAAGCCCAACCCAGAAAG